UACGUAGGAGGCAAGCGUUGUCCGGAAUCACUGGGCGUAAAGCGCGCGCAGGCGGCUAUGUAAGUCUGGUGUUAAAGCCCGGGGCUCAACCCCGGUUCGCAUCGGAAACUGCGUAGCUUGAGUGCAGAAGAGGAAAGCGGUAUUCCACGUGUAGCGGUGAAAUGCGUAGAGAUGUGGAGGAACACCAGUGGCGAAGGCGGCUUUCUGGUCUGUAACUGACGCUGAGGCGCGAAAGCGUGGGGAGCAAACAGG
rnacentral:rRNA from 1 species